rnacentral:rRNA from 1 species
AGCAGCCGCGGUAAUUCCAGCUCCAUAGCGUAUAUUAAAGUUGUUGCAGUUAAAAAGCUCGUAGUUGAAUUUUAGGCCUGGCCGGGCGGUCCGUCUUUGGCGAGUACUGUCUGUUGUCGGGUCUUCCUUCUGGUGAACCAAUAUGUCCUUUAUUGGGUGUGCUGGGGAGCCCGGACCAUUACCUUGAAAAAAUUAGAGUGUUUAAAGCAGGCUUUUGCUUGAAUAGAUUAGCAUGGAAUAAUAGAAUAGGACGUUGUGGUUCUAUUUUGUUGGUUUCUAGGACCACCGUAAUGAUUAAUAGGGAUAGUUGGGGGCAUUAGUAUUCAAUUGUCAGAGGUGAAAUUCUUGGAUUUAUUGAAGACUAACUAUUGCGAAAGCAUUUGCCAAGGAUGUUUUCAUUAAUCAAGAACGAAAGUUAGGGGAUCGAAGACCAUCAGAUACCGUCGUAAUCUUAACCAUAAACUAUGCCAACGAGGAAUCGGGCGACGUUAUUUUAAUGACUCGCUCGGCGCCUUAUG